UACGUAGGCAGCAAGCGUUGUUCGGAGUUACUGGGCGUAAAGGGUGCGUAGGCGGCUUGGAUAAGUGUGGUGUGAAAUCUCCCGGCUCAACUGGGAGGGUGCGCUACAAACUGCCGGGCUAGAGUGCGGCAGAGGAGACUGGAAUUCCUGGUGUAGCAGUGAAAUGCGUAGAUAUCAGGAGGAAUACCGAUGGCGAAGGCAGGUCUCUGGGCUGACACUGACGCUCAUGCACGAAAGCGUGGGGAGCAAACAGG
rnacentral:rRNA from 1 species